GUUCGUCUUGUAGCUGAUAUGAACCCUGUGCAUGUUUCCUUUCCAAACUCAUGGGCCGUCUGAGAGCAUGAGAACGAAAAGCUCCUCAAUAGCGGCUGCCUCAUACUUGGCGAGUAACCAUGGCAGCCGAGGCGCUCUGCCCCUGCCCUCCUUACCUCUCUGCCACCCGUGGGUCGUUCCUUUACUGAAAAAAAAAGGGGGGCACGCCUAAAUUCUCUUCCUCCUGACCCAAACUCUAGGCUUUCUCCUCUCCGACUAAAGGGCCAAAAGCGUCGACUCAGAACUGGUCUACCCGUCUAGACAUGUCUGAAUGGUCCUGCGUGGUCCUGCAUGCUCGAUGUAGAAAGUCCCUUCGCUCAGACGAGAAGGAAGAUGCAGGCGAGGGGACGGGAGAUACGCCGGGUUUGAAAAGGAACCCUGUCUGAUUUGGCCAAAGAGCUCAUUCUAUCAUCGAUCGGCUGCUCCCAAUAGGGGGCGCCACAGCGGCUCAUCCGUCUUCCCUCACCACAUCCAUGAACCUUGAUCUUCCUCUUUUCCUCCUCUGCACAUGUCCAAACCAUCUCAAUCUCACCUCCCUCACCUCGUCUCCAAACCAACUGUUUGGCGCAACUGUCCAUUAAAAACUUAGUCCCUGUCCAUAAAUUGGAUCCGAAAGAGCUAAAAAGUAAUGAAUAAAAUAAAGUGAACCUGCUGUGUGGCGUUUCUCAGCGUGGAGAAUCACUUCAGCGUCCUAUAGUCUUUACAGCAAACCAACAUGGAGGACACGAGCUCCAACUUCCAGCACACACAGACUCUUUCCUGCAUUCAUUCUCCUUAAUAUGGGUUGAUCACAGAAAAAAGAACCGGGACACCAGAAAGCUCCUGUGCACAAAUCCAGCUCCAUGAAGAUCUGCUUUACAAGGGUUGGAGUGGAAGAUCUCCUGCUAUGGAGCUCCAACCCUAUCGAACACCUUUGUAACGAACGUGAACGUGACUGCAUCCCAGGCCUCCUCGUCUCACCUCCAUCAGAAAGAGUCUCCCAAGGGUAAAGUAGGAACAAGCUGCGACAAGUUGUCUUGAGCUUUCACAGCAUUAUAUGUGACAAUAAAUGGAUAAAAAGUCAUGCAUUUAUACAAAGGAAUUGAUGUAGUCAACUUCUGUGUACAUCACACCACUUUUUCCUUCCUUUUUCCAUAUUUACCUACAGAUCUUUUCACCAACCUGCCAAUCAAAUAACCAACCAACCAAAUAACCAAAUAUUUUCAGGCCCAGUAGAAGAAAAAAUUUUAGCCUUGAAACCUAUCGAAGAGUGUAAUGUAAAUAUAGUUCCGAUUUUAUUGUGAAAUCACCAAUCUGAUUUCCAUUUGUCUCUAGAAGUUACAGACCUUCUCAGCCGGUUCCUUCCAGCACACUGAAAUCCGUAAUGAACGACCGGUUCUCCUGCCCCUGGUAUCAAGAGUUAACAAGUUCAUACACACUCUGAAAAAAAACUCUUCCGCUCGACUCCAACGUAGUGCAUUCAAAAGUCAAGCAGGGAUUUUUUUCCCCCAGAAAGAACAACAUGAAGAACAUUUCAGGUGAGAGCAGGUAGAUCAUCUGAAAGGAUCCAGUUGUAAAAGGUUUAUUCAUUAUGUAUCAGCCUUUUAUUUAUCACGGCUCGUAUCUCUGCAUUACUCGACAUCUGUUACGUAAAAAUGCAAUGGUUUUUUUACAUGAUUUAUUCC